rnacentral:rRNA from 1 species
AGAGUUUGAUCCUGGCUCAGAUUGAACGCUGGCGGCAUGCUUUACACAUGCAAGUCGAACGGCAGCACGGGGCGAACCCUCGUGGCGAGUGGCGAACGGGUGGAGUAAUAGCAUCGGAACGUAAUCCUUCGAGUGGGGGAGUAACGCAGCGAAAGUUAGUGCUAAUACCGCAUAAGCUCUGAGGAGGAAAGACGGGGGCCGGAAAGGCCUCGCGCUGAAGGAGCGGCCGAUGUCCGAUUAGCUAGUUGGU